rnacentral:tRNA from 1 species
UUGGAUAAAGCCUUAGAUUGCGGAUCUACCGAUUGAAAGUUCGAAUCUUUCUAAGCAUG